rfam:Brachypodium distachyon strain Bd21 chromosome 3, whole genome shotgun sequence.
UUAGUACUCCCUCCAUCCAACAAUGGAUGUGUCAACUUUGACUAAAUUUGAAUGCAUCUAUACACUAAGUUAUGUCUAAAUACAUCCAAAUUUUGACAAACUUGAAACAUCUUUUGUUGGACGGAGGGAGUAAUAC